rnacentral:rRNA from 1 species
CCCUUAGAUGUUCUGGGCCGCACGCGCGCUACACUGAUGAAUUCAACGAGCUCCUAACCUAGGCCGAAGGGUCCGGGUAAUCUUUGAAAUUUCAUCGUGAUGGGGAUAGAUUAUUGCAAUUAUUAAUCUUCAACGAGGAAUUCCUAGUAAGCGCGAGUCAUCAGCUCGCGUUGAUUACGUCCCUGCCCUUUGUACACACCGCCCGUCGCUCCUACCGAUUGAAUGUGUUGGUGAGGAGCUCGGAUUGGCAGCAGUUGGUGGUUCGCCACCGGCUAUUGCUGAGAAGUCCUCCAAACCGCCCCAUUUAGAGGAAGGAGAAGUCGUAACA